rnacentral:snRNA from 1 species
GUACUAACUACGGCGGUACAUGUUCUAAAAUUGGAACGAUAUAGAGAAGAUUAGCAUGGCCUCUGCGCAAGGAUGACAUGCAAAUUCGUGAAGCGUUCCAUAUUUUU